rnacentral:rRNA from 1 species
CGAGUCCCUUCGGGGGCUAGCGGCGGACGGGUGAGUAACACGUAGGCAACCUGCCCGUAAGCUCGGGAUAACAUGGGGAAACUCAUGCUAAUACCGGAUAGGGUCUUCUCUCGCAUGAGAGGAGACGGAAAGGUGGCGCAAGCUACCACUUACGGAUGGGCCUGCGGCGCAUUAGCUAGUUGGUGGGGUAACGGCCUACCAAGGCGACGAUGCGUAGCCGACCUGAGAGGGUGACCGGCCACACUGGGACUGAGACACGGCCCAGACUCCUACGGGAGGCAGCAGUAGGGAAUUUUCCACAAUGGACGAAAGUCUGAUGGAGCAACNCCGCGUGAACGAUGAAGGUCUUCGGAUUGUAAAGUUCUGUUGUCAGAGACGAACAAGUACCGUUCGAACAGGGCGGUACCUUGACGGUACCUGACGAGAAAGCCACGGCUAACUACGUGCCAGCAGCCGCGGUAAUACGUAGGUGGCAAGCGUUGUCCGGAAUUAUUGGGCGUAAAGCGCGCGCAGGCGGCUAUGUAAGUCUGGUGUUAAAGCCCGGGGCUCAACCCCGGUUCGCAUCGGAAACUGUGUAGCUUGAGUGCAGAAGAGGAAAGCGGUAUUCCACGUGUAGCGGUGAAAUGCGUAGAGAUGUGGAGGAACACCAGUGGCGAAGGCGGCUUUCUGGUCUGUAACUGACGCUGANGCGCGAAAGCGUGGGGAGCAAACNGGAUUAGAUACCCUGGUAGUCACCCCANAA